rnacentral:rRNA from 1 species
UACGUAGGGGGCUAGCGUUGUCCGGAAUCAUUGGGCGUAAAGAGCGUGUAGGCGGCCCGGUAAGUCCGCUGUAAAAGUCAAAGGCUCAACCUUUGAAUGUCAGUGGAUACUGCCGGGCUAGAGUCCGGAAGAGGCGAGUGGAACUCCUGGUGUAGCGGUGGAAUGCGCAGAUAUCAGGAAGAACACCCAGUGGCGAAGGCGGAGU